UGUCAAAAGCAUCGUGAAAACUCUUGUCCACAAGUUAACUCGCAAUCAAGAAUGAGCCAAUUUAAAAACAGGGUCCCAGGCAAAAAUCUGGAACGGCACACAGAGGUUACGCUGUAGUGACCAUGAUUCUUUCAACUGGUGUGUGGUGAGUGCUCUGGUGCAAAAUGGCAGCUGUGCAUCACCCAGACCUCUCCCUCCAGUCCAUCUUCUGCUGCUGCUCGGCAAGAGGAAUGAACAGGGAGAGAGAGCAUCGGAGGGAUCAGGUCACAUCUUGUUGCCGCUCACAGAAAUACCCAGGCCAUGUCUGCAUGUCAGAGCAUUCUCGGAGGAAGCUGCCCUCUGCUCCUCCCGAGAAUGAUGGGGGAGCUAAAAUCAAGGUGGUUGCGAUGUAUGACUUCACGGCCACGGAGACAACAGACCUGAUGCUGAGGCGGGGGGAGGAGUACACCAUACUGCAUAAGCAGGACCAGCUGUGGUGGAGGGCGGAGGACAGGCACGGGAACAAAGGUUUUAUCCCCAGCAAUUAUGUCACAGAGAAGGAUAAAAUGGAGGCUCAUGAGUGGUACUGCAAGAACAUUACCAGGUCCAAGGCUGAGCAGCUACUGAGGCAGGAGGCGAAGGAAGGAGGAUUUAUUGUGAGAGACUCGAGCCAGCAAGGCUAUUACACGGUGUCGGUAUUCACAAAGGCUUUGAGCUCAGAAGAUGGCGACAUAAGGCAUUAUCAGAUCAAGCGCAGUGAAUCAGGGAUGUUCUAUCUGGCAGAGAAACAUGUGUUCAGCUCCAUACCUGACGUCAUCCAUUACCAUCAGCACAACGCAGCAGGUUUGGUGACACGGCUACGCUAUCCGGUUGGGCCAAUGGGAAAAUGCGUCCCAGCAACAGCAGGAUUCAGCUACGAAAAGUGGGAGAUAAACCCGUCAGAGCUGUCCAUCAUGAAGGAGCUGGGAAGCGGUCAGUUUGGAGUGGUGCGUCUGGGAAAGUGGAGAGCACUGUGCAAAGUGGCCAUUAAGAUCAUCAACCAGGGAUCCAUGUCAGAAGAGGACUUCAUCGAGGAGGCCAAGGUCAUGACGAGGUUGUGCCAUCCGAAGCUGGUGCAGCUGUACGGGGUGUGUAUGAUGCAGAGUCCCAUCUGCAUCGUGGUAGAAUUCAUGGAGAACGGCUCCCUGCUCAACUUCCUGCGCCAGCGCACCGGGACCCUGAGUCAGGAGUGGCUGCUGGCCAUGUGCCAGGACACCUGCGAGGGGAUGGAGUACCUGGAGCUCAACAGCUUCAUACACAGGGACCUGGUGUGUGUGUGUGUGUGUGUGUACCUGGAGCAAAGCAGCUUCAUACACAGGGACCUGGUGUGUGUGUGUGUGUGUACCUGGAGCAAAGCAGCUUCAUACACAGGGACCUGGUGUGUGUGUGUGUGUGUGUGUGUGUACCUGGAGCUCAACAGCUUCAUACACAGGGACCUGGUGUGUGUGUGUGUGUGUGUGUGUACCUGGAGCAAAGCAGCUUCAUACACAGGGACCUGGUGUGUGUGUGUGUGUGUGUGUACCUGGAGCAAAGCAGCUUCAUACACAGGGACCUGGUGUGUGUGUGUGUGUGUACCUGGAGCAAAGCAGCUUGCAAAAAAAUGGAUUCAAGCGUCAUAUUAAAUUAUACUCAUUUUCACUGUGACCUUUGCCCUUUAUCCUCCAUCAUAGGCUGCCAGGAAUUGCUUAGUCAGCGACAAGAAUGUGGUGAAAGUGUGUGACUUCGGAAUGACCAGGUUGUUACCGUUUUUUAAAUGGAAAUCCUGAGUAAUAAUAAGAAUCAUACUUCCCUGUUAAGUGUGUCACAGGUUUUACAGAUUGUCAACAAAUGUCAAAACCGACAAAAUAUGAUGACGUGAUCUCUUGGUUCAUGCUUCUAGGUAUGUGCUGGACAAUCAAUACACUAGCUCCACAGGAUCCAAGUUUCCGGUCAAAUGGUCUCCACCUGAGGUGCUGCACUUUAACAAAUAUAGCAAUAAAUCAGACGUGUGGUCAUUCGGCGUGCUGAUGUGGGAGGUCUUCACGGAGG